CUUGGUCAUUUAGAGGAAGUAAAAGUCGUAACAAGGUUUCCGUAGGUGAACCUGCGGAAGGAUCAUUAUAGUAUUCUAUUGCCAGCGCUUAAUUGCGCGGCGAUAAACCUUACACACAUUGUCUAGCUUUUAUUAACUUUGCUUUGGGUAGAAAGCAAUUUCUACCCAGAGGUAUUAAACACAUUUUUUUAAUGUUCAAACCUUUAACCUUUAGUCAUGAAAUUUUUAACAAAAUAAAAAUCUUCAAAACUUUCAACAACGGAUCUCUUGGUUCUCGCAACGAUGAAGAACGCAGCGAAAUGCGAUAUGUAUUGUGAAUUGCAGAUUUUCGUGAAUCAUCGAAUCUUUGAACGCACAUUGCACCCUCUGGUAUUCCAGAGGGUAUGCCUGUUUGAGCGUCAUUUCUCUCUCAAACCUUUGGGUUUGGUAUUGAGUGAUACUCUGUCAAGGGUUAACUUGAAAUAUUGACUUAGCAAGAGUGUAUUUGUUAGUACUUCUUCUGAAAUAAUGUAUUAGGUUCUUCCAACUCGUUAUAUCAGUUUGAUAGUUUCUUCAAGUAUUUAGGCUCGGCUUAACAACAAUAACAUAAAGUUUGACCUCAAAUCAGGUAGGACUACCCGCUGAACUUAAGCAUAUCAAUAAGCGGAGGA
rnacentral:rRNA from 1 species